GCUCCGGUAGCCUAGUGGUCAGAGCGUCCGCCUCGGAUGCGGAAGGUUGCGGGUUCUAUCCCUGGUCGAGUCA